AUACGGAGGGUGCAAGCGUUAUUCGGAAUCACUGGGCGUAAAGGACGCGUAGGCGGGUUGGCAAGUCAGAUGUGAAAUCCUACAGCUUAACUGUAGAACUGCAUUUGAAACUGCUAACCUAGAGUAUGGGAGGGGGAGAUGGAAUUAGUGGUGUAGGGGUAAGAUCCGUAGAUAUCACUAGGAAUACCGAAAGCGAAGGCGAUCUCCUGGAACAUAACUGACGCUAAGGCGUGAAAGCGUGGGGAGCAAACAGGAUUAGAUACCCUAGUAGUCC
rnacentral:rRNA from 1 species